rnacentral:rRNA from 1 species
UACGAAGGGUGCAAGCGUUAAUCGGAAUUACUGGGCGUAAAGGGCGCGUAGGCGGUUUGACAAGUCUGAUGUGAAAUCUCUGGGCUCAACCCAGAGUCUGCAUUAGAAACUGUCGGGCUUGAGUAUGGGAGAGGUGAGUGGAAUUUCCGGUGUAGCGGUGAAAUGCGUAGAUAUCGGAAGGAACACCUGUGGCGAAAGCGGCUCACUGGACCAUAACUGACGCUGAGGCGCGAAAGCUAGGGGAGCAAACAGG